AUACGGAGGGUGCAAGCGUUAAUGGGAAUUACUGGGCGUAAAGCGCGCGUAGGCGGUUUGAUAAGUCGGAUGUGAAAUCCCCGGGCUCAACCUGGGAAUUGCAUUCGAUACUGUCAGGCUAGAGUGUGGUAGAGGGAAGUGGAAUUUCCGGUGUAGCGGUGAAAUGCGUAGAUAUCGGAAGGAACACCAGUGGCGAAGGCGGCUUCCUGGACCAACACUGACGCUGAGGUGCGAAAGCGUGGGGAGCAAACAGGAUUAGAUACCCUAGUAGUCC
rnacentral:rRNA from 1 species